ACACAUGCAAGUCGAGGGGAAACGACAUCGAAAGCUUGCUUUUGAUGGGUGUCGACCGGCGCACGGGUGAGUAACGCGUAUCCAACCUGCCCACCACAUGGGGAUGACCUUGCGAAAGUAAGACUAAUACCCAAUGAUAUCUCUAGAAGACAUCUGAAAGAGAUUAAAGAUUUAUCGGUGAUGGAUGGGGAUGCGUCUGAUUAGCUUGUUGGCGGGGUAACGGCCCACCAAGGCGACGAUCAGUAGGGGUUCUGAGAGGAAGGUCCCCCACAUUGGAACUGAGACACGGUCCAAACUCCUACGGGAGGCAGCAGUGAGGAGUAUUGGUCAAUGGACGAGAGUCUGAACCAGCCAAGUAGCGUGCAGGAUGACGGCCCUAUGGGUUGUAAACUGCUUUUAUAAGGGAAUAAAGUGAGUCUCGUGAGACUUUUUGCAUGUACCCUAUGAAUAAGGACCGGCUAAUUCCGUGCCAGCAGCCGCGGUAAUACGGAAGGUCCGGGCGUUAUCCGGAUUUAUUGGGUUUAAAGGGAGCGUAGGCCGGAGAUUAAGCGUGUUGUGAAAUGUA
rnacentral:rRNA from 1 species